UGUUGUUGUUGUUGCUUCAAAAGAAAUCCAACCCAGCAGCAGCAUCUAGAGCAGCAGCAGCAGCAACAACAACCGCUGCAACAACUAUUGUACAAUGGGGUCCGGCUCAUGCGGCAGCAUUGCGUGGAGUUUGCUUGUUGUGUUAGACAGAAAAAAAACCCAGAAAACUAAAAAAGAAAAAAAUCUAAAAUCAAAUCGUUUACUUUCAACUCAAACGACGACGACUCUCAGCUAACUUAUACGGAUAAAUGGCCAAGGAUAAACAAAGAAAAAAAAAUGAAAAAAAAUCAAGCAAAAAAAUAUCUAAUUGAAAAAUUUCAUGAUCCAAGCUUAAAAAAAAAAAACACAAAAAAGAAACAUUUAAGAACCCUCCCGAGUUUAGCCAGAAGGCGUUUACGGAUCAUUUCAAACCCGGAGCCUCGUUUCGAGUGCGGCGCAUCCAAUCCCCCCUCUUCCCAUCCACAAACCCGGAGGCACAUACAUACAAUAUAUUCCUGUUUGGGGAAUAUAUGGUUAUUGAAGCUAUGGUCAAGAAACCCUCCUUCACCUACUCCGGAACUUUUGUUUUUAAUUAACCCUUCAACCCAGUUUAACGUUUCCCAUACGCGACGGAGAAUUCAGUUUUGCCCAAGCCUAUCAUAAACAAUUUACAAACUAUAUAAAACAUAUAUAACAAUUAAUCUUAAAAUUGAUAACAUAAACUCAUUUGUCGGACAAACGUGUGUAAUACUGUAGUAAAAACAAAGAAAAGUAUUAAGAUCUAUCUAAUUACGUACACGUAUUUCAAACCAUUUCUAUAUACUUUAAAAACUUUCGAGAAAAAAACCUAAGUGUAAUAUCUUUUAAAAUGAAAUAAAGUUUCCGACAAAUAAA